UGGGGAAUAUUGCACAAUGGGGGAAACCCUGAUGCAGCGACGCCGCGUGAGCGAAGAAGUAUUUCGGUAUGUAAAGCUCUAUCAGCAGGGAAGAUAAUGACGGUACCUGACUAAGAAGCCCCGGCUAACUACGUGCCAGCAGCCGCGGUAAUACGUAGGGGGCAAGCGUUAUCCGGAUUUACUGGGUGUAAAGGGAGCGUAGACGGCAAGGCAAGUCUGAUGUGAAAACCCAGGGCUUAACCCUGGGACUGCAUUGGAAACUGUCUGGCUCGAGUGCCGGAGAGGUAAGCGGAAUUCCUAGUGUAGCGGUGAAAUGCGUAGAUAUUAGGAAGAACACCAGUGGCGAAGGCGGCUUACUGGACGGUAACUGACGUUGAGGCUCGAAAGCGUGGGGAGCAAA
rnacentral:rRNA from 1 species